UUCCCGAGCAUGGGCUGAAGAGGCCAGGUGGUAAAGGAUCCAAGUCCAGCGGCGGCAAUGGAAAACCAGCCAUAUCGUCGACCCAAAAACUCGCCCCAAACUCACUAACCACUUGAUUCUGUCCAGAAUUUUGAAUUUGUUGAGUUUGAUCGCCACCAAUGUCUUCCGCAGAAUUCUGUAAAUCUUGUAAACGAAGAGUGCCCUGUAGAGCACCCAAUGUCUCUUCGUUUUGAUUAUCUGUUAAGGUGUCUUCACUGGUUAGAACACCUAAAGAUCCGGUACAGAGACCGGAAGAAAUACUAUGGCUCACCUGUGCCAAGGGUGUACGGCGAUUCGGAGGUGUUCACCGUGUGGUGAUUCUGCAGAAACUCCAUCUCUGCGAAAUUUCUGCUCGUAACCGCCCUUAGAGACAACCCCUUUCCCCGCCUCGAUAAAAUACGCGGACGGAUUGCCUCCUCUCUGUGGAGAUGUGGUCCAGCCCCUCUGGUCUCCCUAGCAACCGCACAUUGCUCCUCUGAUUUUGAAGCACAAAGAAGACAUAAUCACACUUUGCACGUUUUCUCUGCCGUUAAACACACUCGGGUCAUUCAAGAAGGAUCUAGAAGAGGACGGACUUAAAUCACUGUGAGUUAACUUCAAUCACACAUCGAAUUUUGAUUUGAUCUUUUUCGAACUUGAACUUGAAGAUAUUCUUGAAAUUUUUCCAACUUAGAUCGAUCUUGAGGCAAGAAGUGGAAAUUUUAAGGGAUGGCACCGUAUGCUACUGUCAUGCUGGCACGAUGGCUUGUCAAUGUGUCUUAGCUAACUAGAGAUCUACCACCUACUAUCACCCACUCUCACCCCUUACUCACUGACUACUGCUUCGACCCCACUCCACUACGGGCCGGCCUUUUCGCCGCUCUCUUUUUUCCUUCAUCGUAUUUGCCUUGUUCCACGCACAUAUCAUCCUCCUCUUCCACAUGUGCUUACCCCUACCUUAAAUAACGUUAACCUUCCAUGCUUCCACCGUAAGGUGUUUGCUAAAGAGAUUUGCAACAUUUCAACUUUGCCUAAACUUCGAAUACCAUGGAAUAAUAUCGCAAUUAUCGCUUAAAAUUUCACCCUCUCGGACUGAUUUAAUAGAGAUUUAGAAAAGAUUUACAAAGAUGGUACAAAUACAAAUUUUACAUUGUAAAUAUUGCGUAUAUAUUAUAUGUGUGUAGGUCAAUGAAAAUAAAUAA